CGCCCGAGGUGAGCACUUGUACAUCCCGAUCAGCUUGGAGUUCCGAUUGGUUGGUAGGCGCGGCGCUGGUUCGUAGGUCUCGGAUCCAGCCAGCGUGGUCUCCCUCCGGAGUUGCUCGUUCCGAUUGUGGUUGGUAGGCGCGGCGCGGCGCGGGUUCAUAGGUCCCGGAUCCAGCGCCGUCUUGUAUCCUUUCCUGCCUGGCUUUGAGUAUUCAUUCGUAUGAGGAACCCUACCUCGACUAGGAUAGUAGGAUUUAAUUAGUUAGGGUUUGUUUGUUUGGUAACACCACGUAGCUAGGGUUCGAUUAUCCGUAAUAAGGAAUCAAUCUGACGUUUUAGUUAGGGUUUGCUUGGUUGGUUGUUGUCAGAUUUUGGUUUCUCAAAUGGUGUAUGAAUUCUUCAACUGUGCCUGUCGCGAUUUUGGGCGGAAAUUGAUGAUUUCGGGGGCAAAAUCCGAGGGAUUUUGUGGAUGAAAGAUGGGGAAACUUGGGGAAAUGCUAGAUCCACUCGAAACCAAGCAAAUCCAUGGAUCAAAAUCAACAAAACUUCAUCAUGCCAACAAAUCACAAAAAAAAUUGGGGCUAUUUUUGGUGGGGAAAUUUCGAAUUAGGACGAAAAACAACAAAAUCAAGCUAGAAAACGAAUAUUAAUUUGGAUGGAAUUCAUGCUAUGUUGUUCGAUUUCAGUUUAUGCCAGAAUGUUUAAUUUUUUGUUUUAUCAACUGUGUUUGAGCGUAGUAGAUUUGUUGCAUAUUCAUGUUCUAGCUCUGUUUGGAUAGGUAACAAUAUUUUUUGGGAUCCUAAAAUAUUUAUGCACAGGCAGCACUUAACCUGUAGUCAUAUGUGCUGCUUUCCAGCUCUGUUGUUUGGAAGUUUAUUUAUUUUAUGUGAUACUAAUAUUUGCCAAUGAUGAUGUAUCUUUUGCCAACCAACCAAUCUCUAGUCUUCUUCUUGAGGAGUUCUGUAAAUGCUGGUUUGGUUUUCUGUCCUCACUAUGCCCUUGCACAUGGGAUGCAAUUUUUUAUUUCCCUGCUGUUUAGUUUAUUGUUUCCUUUGAUGGUGAGGCAUUAAUUCUGGAGAUGCAAUUUUCUUGCUCACAAUAAUACAAUGAAUGAUGGCAUCUCUAUGGCACUUUGAACCAAAUUAUAUAUAUUCCCUCUGUUAAUUAUUUUUCUGUUUUGGGUGAUUGAGUGUAUUCAUUCAUUUUGUUUAGUUGCCUAUCAGUAUAGUACAUGGUUGAAUUGCUUUCACUUCAUAUUAAUAACUAUUCUGUCGCACAAUGCAAAUAUAUAUAUGCUGUCCUAACUAAUUAAGUAGAAGCUUGGAUUGGUGCUGUAUAGUCUCUUCCUGACAUUAAAUCCUCCUCUGUUUGUGCUGUACCAGCUGGUAGCAGCAACUCUUCUGCUGCAGCCUUCUUCGCCGCCAAAAGGAAAUGAUGGUCUACGAAAUCCACUCCCAUGCCCAAAUCCAAGACCUGCAGGCCCGCUCCGAUGAGCUGGGCCACUCCAAAGACAUACAGCUUGUGAAUCUUGUCUCUUUGGAGUCGGUGCGCAUAGCGUGCGAGUCGUAUGAACUCCUCUGCCCGGUGAUCGAGGAGUUUGUGUUCUUGGCAUGCCCGGAGCUGGAAAACCUCUCGGUCGUGGCACGCUUGUCGCUGGAAAUCCAAAUGCUCGAGCAUGAUGUGUUACCCCAGCUCAAGGUUCAGGAAGCCAAGCUGGAACAGGGCGCCCUGGAAGCCCUCCUACUCAUGAAGAACUGAGCAAUUAUCCUCUUAGAUCUGAGGAAGCGCUUUAUGUUAGCCUUGGGCGUAUUGCUUGCCGAGGACGAUCUGGUCUUAGCCCGAGUCAAAAAGCUGAGCAUAAUGCUAAAGGAUACUGCUGAUGCUGUACUCAAAGGUAAUGGUAACAUUGCCUGGCUUGAGGAGCGUGUCGUGUUGCUGGUCCAGCUGGUCACCAAUGUGUUGGAGACCCCGGUUCGUUUCUGUGAUCCUGAUGAGGACUGAUGAGUAGACUUAUCAGCCAGCUCGAGGCUGUUGUGAUGAGUAUUUCUUAGGGGCGUGGCAAACAGUUUAGAAUCAACUGUUGCGAUGUAUUUCUUGGACCCUCCUUUAUGUUUGGAUGUGUUUUCUCAUUAUGUUACAACUUGCAAUUACUUUCAGUUUUUUUUUGAGAAACAUCCAUUCUGUGUUUUACUGUACAGUCACAUGAAGGUAUU
rnacentral:rRNA from 1 species